rnacentral:rRNA from 1 species
UUCGCAAUGCCCGAAAGGGUGACGAAGCGACGCCGCGUGCGGGAAGAAGGCCUUCGGGUUGUAAACCGCUGUCGGGAGUUAAGAAAUGUAAGGAUGUUAAUAGCAUCUUUGCUUGACUAAGGCUCCGGAGGAAGCCACGGCUAACUCUAUGCCAGCAGCCGCGGUAAUACAGAGGCGGCAAGCGUUGUUCGGAAUUAUUGGGCGUAAAGAGCACGUAGGCGGCUGUGUAAGUCGGUUGUGAAAGCCUUCCGCUCAACGGAAGAACAGCAGCCGAUACUGCAUGGCUUGAGUGCGGGAGGGGAGAGUGGAACUUCUGGUGGAGCGGUGAAAUGCGUAGAUAUCAGAAGGAACGCCGGCGGCGAAAGCGACUCUCUGGACCGUAACUGACGCUGAGUGUGCGAAAGCUAGGGGAGCAAACGGGAUUAGAUACCCCGGUAGUCCUAGCCGUAAACGAUGGGCACUAAGUAGAGGGGUUUU